GGAGGAAUAUUGGUCAAUGGGCGUAAGCCUGAACCAGCCAAGUCGCGUGAGGGAUGAAGGUUCUAUGGAUCGUAAACCUCUUUUAUAAGGGAAUAAAGUGCGGGACGUGUCCCUUUUUGCAGGUACCGUAUGAAUAAGGACCGGCUAAUUCCGUGCCAGCAGCCGCGGUAAUACGGAAGGUCCUGGCGUUAUCCGGAUUCAUUGGGCGUAAAGCGCGCGCAGGCGGGUUGCUAAGCGGGACCUCUAAUCUUGGGGCUCAACCUCAAGCCGGGUCCCGAACUGGCAGCCUCGAGUGCGGUAGGGGUAAGCGGAAUUCCCGGUGUAGCGGUGGAAUGCGCAGAUAUCGGGAAGAACACCGAUGGCGAAGGCAGCUUACUGGGCCGUCACUGACGCUGAGGCGCGAAAGCUAGGGGAGCGAACAGGAUUAGAUACC
rnacentral:rRNA from 1 species